rnacentral:rRNA from 1 species
AUUGAACGCUGGCGGCAGGCCUAACACAUGCAAGUCGAACGAUUGGCGGACGGGUGAGUAAUGUCUGGGAAACUGCCUGAUGGAGGGGGAUAACUACUGGAUACGGUAGCUAAUACCGCAUACCAUCAGAUGUGCCCAGAUGGGAUUAGCUAGUUGGUGGGGUAACGGCUCACCAAGGCGACGAUCCCUAGCUGGUCUGAGAGGAUGACCAGCCACACUGAAACUGGGAAACGGUCCAGACUCCUACGUGAGGCAGAAGUGGGGAAUAUUGCACAAGGGGCGCAAGACUGAUGCAGCCAUGAAGCGUGUAAGAAGAAGGCCUUCGGGUUGUAAAGUACUUUCAGCGGGGAGGAGUUACCCGCAGAAGAAGCACCGGCUAACUCCGUGCCAGCAGCCGCGGUAAUAC